rnacentral:rRNA from 1 species
GGUUGACCUCGGAUCAGGUAGGGAUACCCGCUGAACUUAAGCAUAUCAAUAAGCGGAGGAAAAGAAACCAACCGGGAUUGCCUCAGUAACGGCGAGUGAAGCGGCAAGAGCUCAAAUUUGAAAUCUGGCCCCCUCGGGGUCCGAGUUGUAAUUUGCAGAGGAUGCUUCGGGUGCGGCCCCCGUCUAAGUGCCCUGGAACGGGCCGUCAUAGAGGGUGAGAAUCCCGUCUGGGACGGGGUGUCCGCGUCCGUGUGAAGCUCCUUCGACGAGUCGAGUUGUUUGGGAAUGCAGCUCUAAAUGGGUGGUAAAUUUCAUCUAAAGCUAAAUACUGGCCGGAGACCGAUAGCGCACAAGUAGAGUGAUCGAAAGAUGAAAAGCACUUUGAAAAGAGAGUUAAAAAGCACGUGAAAUUGUUGAAAGGGAAGCGCUUGCGACCAGACUCGCCCGCGGGGUUCAGCCGGCAUUCGUGCCGGUGUACUUCCCCGUGGGCGGGCCAGCGUCGGUUUGGGCGGCCGGUCAAAGGCCUCCGGAAUGUAGCACCCUUCGGGGUGCCUUAUAGCCGGGGGUGCAAUGCGGCCAGCCUGGACCGAGGAACGCGCUUCGGCACGGACGCUGGCAUAAUGGUCGUAAACGACC